GUCCACGCCGUAAACGAUGGGUACUAGGUGCUUGGGGGAGCGACCCCCCGAGUGCCGGCGCUAACGCAUUAAGUACCCCGCCUGGGGAGUACGACCGCAAGGUUGAAACUCAAAGGAAUUGACGGGGGCCCGCACAAGCGGUGGAGCAUGUGGUUUAAUUCGACGCAACGCGAAGAACCUUACCCAGGCUUGACAUGUAUGAGAAAGCCUCUGGAAACAGGGGCCCCUCUUCGGAGCUCAUGCACAGGUGCUGCAUGGCUGUCGU
rnacentral:rRNA from 1 species